GUGGUUGAAAUUAAUUAUUGCUUUCAUAUUUACAUGACUCAUUCUGAUAUGUCCGAUCAUUAACACGCUGCUAUUUGCCCCGGAUCAUUUUUAAACACAAUAUUGUGUAUUUAAGUACAACGAGGACAAAGAACAAGAGGGAAUCAGAUUGGAACUUUCAUAUUAGUCAACAAAACGGAGGCUUACCUCGCCUAAGGCUGGAGCUGGACAGGGUCUGCAUGCUGGUGAGGAAAGUGCGAUCUGCGUGUGGUGAGAAUAAAAAUCUAAGAAUCUCAACGACAAGGCAACAUCCUCACCUCUCACCUUGUCUUCUUGUUACCUGUGGCAUGAACACCUGUGUCUUUGUUCUCUUCGGCGCUUUGUAUGGACUACCCAUUUCUGCACUUUGUCAUGUUGCCAGUCCGAUCUCCAUUCCGCUCAAUCUGACUGUCUGUGUGUCAGGCAGCCUGCCCCUCCUCCAGCAAAACUGUAAAAGGCGCCCUAAUUCUUGGCCUGAUCAAGAGCUGUCCUCACUCCAUGCCCUCCCUCCCAGCUGGGAGACAUAUUGGACCAACAGCUCUGCGAUCCUCUCACGGUGACACCAUGGCUUCAGAGCACGAAACUCUUAUCCAGUUUCCUCACCGGACUGCAACCUGCCUG
ensembl:lncRNA